rnacentral:tRNA from 1 species
UCUCGCCGAAGCUCAACUGGAUGAGCACCUGAUUACGAUUCAGGGGGAUGCAGGUUCGACUCCUGUCGGCGCCAG